CAGAGUUGAUCAUGGCUCAGGACGAACGCUGGCGGCGCGCCUAACACAUGCAAGUCGAACGGAGCUGAGAGGAGCUUGCUUUCUUAGCUUAGUGGCGAACGGGUGAGUAACGCGUGAGUAACCUGCCCUGGAGUGGGGACAACAGUUGGAAACGACUGCUAAUACCGCAUAAGCCCACGAUCCGGCAUCGGAUUGAGGGAAAAGGAUUUAUUCGCUUCAGGAUGGACUCGCGUCCAAUUAGCUAGUUGGUGAGGUAACGGCCACCAAGGCGACGAUUGGUAGCCGGACUGAGAGGUUGAACGGCCACAUUGGGACUGAGACACGGCCCAGACUCCUACGGGAGCA
rnacentral:rRNA from 1 species